CAUGCAGUAAGUAUUACAAGAUGUUUCACCAUGCACGUUAAUCCUCUCUCGCUAGCCACGAGUCAGUGACCGGAACCAGUUAGGAAUCGAUAUAAAAUAAAAAUAAAAAACUUAUUUGAAUUCAAUAAUCUUAUCACAAUGAUGGAGUUUUUGAUUUAUUAUUUAUUAGGAACUUUCGUACUUAUAUUAUUUUACGAAGUCGUAAUAUAUUGCAAGAAAAACGGUAUUGGAGCGAAGAUUAAUAACUUUGCGAAACUAAAUCAAAGGAAGGAAUUAAUGAUGACAUUUAUGGAAAAUGGCGGGAAGGAAGUAGAAAGUACAAAUGUUUUUAUCGUUUAAGUAUAUUUUUUUUUAAAGGAAGCAUAGAUAUGCUUUUGUCUUUUUUGUUUUGUUUAAUUGUUGUAAAUAAAGAUGUAACAUGAAUUUUGGCAUU